rnacentral:lncRNA from 1 species
UUGAAGCUCAGGAAUUCCUAGCUGAACGUAACCCUUUCUCCACCCAGCUUUUACGUUUAUCUCUGCUGGUUUAAAUUUGCAUGCUUGUGAAUAAUCACCUCUUCAUUGUCCACUUGGAAACUAAUACUACUAUUUAUGAUUCUUGACGUUCGUGAUCAUUAUGGCUAGAGAGGAGCCAUGGAGGGCGGUCUACAAGGGACGUACGAGCUAGAAACUGAAGGGUACAACAAGGAGGAGGCAGGCCGUGAAUUCAUACACCCCGCCAAGGAAGAACCUGUAGAAGAAGACCCUGGCCCAGAUGUAGGAAUUGAUGCUGACAAAUGCAGAGGAUGAUCCAUACCUUGACCAGGAACUGCCUGUUAUGGCUGUCAGGUCUCCUAAUAGAUAUGUUAGUAGCAUGAAGCACCAGUUCUAGAUAUGUUAGUAGCAUGAAGCACCAGUUCUGCUCUGCUGCAUGUAAAAAUAAACAGCCUGUUUGCUAGCAUCAUCCCGUUGAAACUUGUUGCCGUCUGUGUCAUCUCUUGUAACAUGGCAGUGUUUCAUUCUGUGUCAUCUCUUGUAACAUGGCAGUGUUUCA